rnacentral:rRNA from 1 species
UACGGGGGGUGCGAGCGUUGUCCGGAAUCACUGGGCGUAAAGGGCGCGUAGGUGGCUUGGUAAGCGCGUGGUGAAAGCCCGGGGCUCAACCCCGGGUCGGCCAUGCGAACUACUAUGGCUUGAGCACUGUAGAGGCAGGUAGAGUUCCGGGUGUAGCGGUGGAAUGCGUAGAGAUCCGGAAGAAUACCGGUGGCGAAGGCGGCCUGCUGGGCAGUGGCUGACACUGAGGCGCGACAGCGUGGGGAGCAAACAGG